GUAAAUAAUUAAGGGCGUAUGGUGGAUGCCUAGGCUCUCAGAGGCGAUGAAGGACGUGAUAAGCUGCGAAAAGCUCCGUUUAGGUGCAAAUAACCUUUGAUGCGGAGAUCUCCGAAUGGGAUAACCCAAUAUGUUGAAGACAUAUUAUACCGUAAGGUAGGCAAACGCAGGGAACUGAAACAUCUAAGUACCUGCAGGAGAAGAAAACAAACGUGAUUCCCCCAGUAGCGGCGAGCGACCGGGGAAAAGCCCAAACCGUUAUUGUUUCGGCAUUAACGGGGUAGUAGGACUGCAAGCUUGAUGAAAUAAAUGAAAUGGAACACUUUGGAAAAUGUGAUCACAGAGGGUGAUAAUCCCGUACAUGCAAGUUUAUGAAUCAUAGCAGACUCCUGAGUAAGUCGGGACACGUGUAAUCCUGACCGAAUCCGCCGGGACCAUCCGGCAAGGCUAAAUACUCCUGAGAGACCGAUAGUGAACCAGUACCGUGAGGGAAAGGUGAAAAGCACUUCGAACAGAAGAGUGAAAUAGUCCCUGAACCCAUACGCCUACAAGCAGUCGGAGCCGCUUCGUGCGGUGACGGCGUGCCUUUUGCAUAAUGAGCCUACGAGUUACUCAUCACCAGCGAGGUUAAGUACUUCAGGUACGUAAGCCGAAGCGAAAGCGAGUCUGAAUAGGGCGUCAAGUUGGUGGUGGUAGACGCGAAACCUUAGUGAUCUACCCAUGGGCAGGGUGAAGGUUUGGUAACACAAACUGGAGGCCCGAACCGGUAAACGUUGAAAAGUUUUCGGAUGACCUGUGGGUAGGGGUGAAAGGCCAAUCAAACUGGGAAAUAGCUCGUACUCUCCGAAAUGCAUUUAGGUGCAGCCUCUGUUGUUUUGUUCUAGAGGUAGAGCUACUGAUUGGAUGCGAGGGCUUCACCGCCUAUCAAAUCCGGCCAAACUCCGAAUGCUAGAACAUGAAGACAGGGAGUGAGCCAGCGGGUGCUAAGGUCCGUUGACGAAAGAGGGAGAACUCAGACCAUCAGCUAAGGUCCCCAAUUGUAUGCUAAGUUGGAAUUAAAACGGGGUGGGACUGCUUAGACAGCUAGGAUGUUGGCUUGGAAGCAGCCAUUCAUUUAAAGAGUGCGUAACAGCUCACUAGUCGAGCGGUCCUGCAUGGAUAAUACGCGGGCAUAAGCAUAUAACCGAAGCUAUGGGAUUGUAGAUGAUACAAUCGGUAGGAGAGCAUUCCAUUCAGCAUAGAAGCAGUACCGUGAGGUAUUGUGGAGCGGAUGGAAAAGCAAAUGUAGGCAUAAGUAACGAUAAUGCGGGUGAGAACCCCGCACGCCGAAAGAUCAAGGAUUCCCCGGCAAUGUCAAUCAUCCGGGGGUAAGUCGGAUCCUAAGGGUAAGCCGAGUGGCGAUCCCGAUGGCAAACAGGUUAAUAUUCCUGUACUGAUCAUAACUGCGAUGCAGCGACGCAGAGGUGACACUGCUGCGUACUGACGGAAUAGUACGUUGAAACCCGUAUUCUUUGAUACCGGUAGUGAAGCACGCCGGUAGAGAUGAAAGGUGAUAGUACCGCAAUGCUUCGGUUGCGCGGAUAACGCAGGUAAGCUGACUGCCAAGAAAACCUGCUAAGCUUCAGGUAAUGAUCAUCCGUACUGUAAACGGACACACGUGAUCAGGUAGAAAAUACUAAGGCGCUCGAGAGAUUCAUGGUUAAGGAACUAGGCAAAAUGGUCCUGUAACUUCGGGAUAAAGGACGCUCUUGUGAAAGAGCCGCAGAUAAUAGGCCCAGGCGACUGUUUACCAAAAACACAUGGCUAUGCUAAUUCGCAAGAAGAUGUAUAUGGCCUGACACCUGCCCGGUGCCGGAAGGUUAAGAGGAGAGCUCAGAGGCAACUCGAAGGUUUGAAUUGAAGCCCCGGUAAACGGCGGCCGUAACUAUAACGGUCCUAAGGUAGCGAAAUUCCUUGUCGGGUAAGUUCCGACCUGCACGAAUGG
rnacentral:rRNA from 1 species